rnacentral:lncRNA from 1 species
UCGUCAGUUGCAGGUCUCUUUUCAUAAACUUGUCAUCGCCACAAAGACAACUGACAGCGAGUGCGAGUAGUGUGAGAGCUUCAGAUGAGCGAGUUGACGGCGAGAAGAGGAAGGAGUUGGAGUGUCGCAAAAGUGAGAGUGUGGGCCUCAAGAGGAAGGAGGUAGAGCACCAUAGAAGUGAGAGUGUGUUAGGCUUCGAGAGUGGGGGAAAGGAGGACGCGAGAGAGAGUAAAAGAGAGAGAUGAUUGCCUUAGUUUCGAGGAUAAGGCACCUCCUAGGGACUGGUUACGGGAGUAAGAUUUUUCCUUCUUGUAUUAUUCGUACUCAAGUAGGCUUAUAUACACAGAGUUAUUACAUGUAUAACGGUCGUAAUCGUGCUAACUGUUUCUUAAUAGAAUAACUACUCCCUAACAACACUAAUAUCUUGCAUGUGCGUUUUAUUCUGCUAACUACUAACUACAAGUGUUAUGUGGUUACGUAAUCGUGCAAGUACUUUGGUGUGAUGAUUUCUCUUCUGGGUCUGGGUGCUUCGAAUUCGUGCACGAUGCUGCUAUCAAUACUCCCAUCCCCGAACACCACCUUGUCCUCAAGGUGGUAGGCGCCACGUAACUCCGGCCAGGGUUCCCAAGUAGUAUCCUCUGGUGGUUGUCCCACCCAUUGAGUAAGGACCAAAUGAGUUAGAGGGGAGGUAGAGUUAUCAAGUUUAGAGUCCAGAAAGCAAAAGGGUCGUGGUACUGGCUUGUGAUCGACAACCUGUAAAGGCCAGGUAUCCAAUGACAAAGGUGGAGGGCCGUGGUGAGCACGUAAAAGCGAACAAUGGAAGACUGGAUGGAUACGUGCAUUGUCUGGUAGCUGAAGGCGAUACGCGACUUGGUCUAUGCAAGCCGUGAUUUAGAAAGGUCCGAAGAAACACUUCGAAAGCUUUGGAUGGGUGGUUCCUGUUAUUGAUUGUUGACAGAAGGGCUUGAGUUUGACAUAAACCCAUUGUCCCACUGCAUAGGUUAUAUCAUCGUGCUUAGUGCCUGCUUGUUGUUUCAUGGCAGCCUGGGCUUUCAUCAAUCUUUGCUGAAGCUUGGUUUGGAUCUCCUGGCGGGAGCUUACCAGAGUUUCAACCGCCUCGUUGUUGGUCAUCCCAGGGAUAUAGUGGGGUAGCGCCAACGGUGGUUUGCCGUAAAUCACUUCAAAAUGAGUGAAUCCUGAAUUGGUGUGGAGCGACAUGUUAUAUGACCAUUCUGUUAGGGCUAGGUAUCGGAACCAAUUUGUCAGUUGAGAAUGAACGAAAGAACGUAGGUAUUGUUCUAGAACACGGUUCAUAACCUCAGUUUGGCCGUCGAUCUGCGGAUGGUAGGCCGUACUCAUGCGGAGGAAGGUGCCACUGAGUUGAAAAAGCUCUCGCCAGAAUGAGCUUAAGAAUACGGGGUCCCUAUCGGAGACGAUGCUGUGAGGGAAGCCAUGAUGUUUGCAGACCAAGUCCAGAAAUAGAGUUACGACCUUGAAAGCGGAGAAGUGUGUGGGUAGUGUGCCCAAGUGAACACCUUUUGAGUAACGAUCAACAAUAACGAGAAUGACGGUGAACCCGUGAGAUGGUGGCAAAUGGAUGACAAAAUCCAUGGAUAUAUCUUCCCAUAUCCCUGCCAGAAUUGGUAACGGCUGCAGAAGACCUGUUGGCCAGCGAGUGCUUGAUUUUUUUUGUUGACAAAUCUUGCAUUCUCGAAUGAAGCAUUUAACAUCAUCCUUGAGGCCGUGCCAGAAGAAGCUCGACUCAAGUCGAUGAGUAGUCUUCGCAACGCCCAUGUGGCCGUCCAACGGUGUAGCAGGAUUCUCGAGCAAGAUAGUGGAAAUGUAGGGAUUAGUCUUAUGUAUCCAGAUGUGCCCUUGAAAGAAUAAUAACCCAUUGUGGAUUUGAUAGUCAAUGUGGGAUGCAGGGUUGGCUCGAACCUUGGACAGUAGAGCCUGGAAUUCGGGUUCAGCAUGUAACGUUCGUCGGAGAUCCUCGAUGAAAUCCAAGUGGGGAACUGAAAGUAAGAGCAGCUGGCCUGAGGUAGAAGGCAAUCGAGAUAGUGCGUCUGCGACGAUAUUAGACGCAUCGGCCUUGUAACGAAUAGUGUAAUCGAACCCAAGUAACUUAAAGAGGUAAUAGUGUUGCUCGAGGGUUUGAAUCACUUGCGUCAUGAGUUCCUGGAGGCUCUUGUGAUCUGUCAGUAUGGUGAAAGAUCGCCCUAGGAGAUAUUGACGCCAUUUUCGCACUGCGGUCACGAUGGCAUGGAGUUUCCUUAUGUAUGUUGAAGCAUGAGUCAACCGAGGGCCAAAGACUUUGUUGAAGAAAGCUAUUGGAUGAUCCUUCUGCAUCGAAACAGCUCCCAUGGCGGUUCGCGAUGCGUCUGUCUCGAUGACAAAUGGUUCUGAGAAGUUGGGAAGAGCAAGAACGGGUGCGCGAGUCAUUGCCAUUUUUAGUUGGUCGAAAGCUGCCUGAGAAUCUUCAGUCCAUUCGAACGCAUCUUUACACAAUAGUGUAGUAAGAGGUGUUGUUAUGGAGGCAUAAUUUCUUAUAAACUUGGGAUAGAAUCCAGUAAGGCCCAAAAAACCCCUGAGUUCCUUAACUGAGGUUGGUGUAGGCCAUUGUACCAUGGCCUGAACCUUGGAGGGUUCUGGUUCGACUCCUCUGCCGGAAACCACGUGUCCCAAAUAUUCUACCUGAUUUCGUGCGAAGAUACACUUUGUGUGCUUUGGGUAAAACUGCCCUUGUAACAGUGCUUGAAAGAUCAUUUCUAGAUGCUGAAUGUGGGAUGAUAAGGACUUGCUAUAUACCAAAAUAUCAUCGAAAAAUACUGUGGCAAAGCAUUUCAGGAAUGGUGUGAGCAAGUUGUUCAUGGCGGCUUGAAAGGUGGAGGGUGCGUUGCUCAAGCCGAAGGGCAUAACGCCAUACUCAUAGUGCCCUUGAUGCGUUCUAAAGGCUAUUUUCUCGAUAUCGGGCUCAUGCAUAAGGAUCUGAUGGAAUCCUUUCCUUAGGUCGAGCUUGGAAAACCAUGACGCCUGACUGAGUUCAUCCAGCAACUCGUCAAUGGUAGGUAUCAAAAAAUGGUCACGUAUGAUAACUACAUUUAGUGCGUGAUAGUCAACGCACAUCUGCCAAGUGUCGUCCUUCUUCUUUACCAGAAGAACUGGGGAGGAGUACGAGCUCGUGCUUGGUCGUAUCAGGUCGGCGGAAAGGAGAUCGGAGACCUGCCUUUCUAUCUCAGUUUUUUGGAAGUACGGGUACCUGUAGGGUCGUACGUUUACCAGGGAAGUCGAAGGAAGGAGAUUAAUGCGAUGGGUUACUUCUCUCGGGGGGGGGGGGGGGAGAGUGGGUGGUGUCUGGAAUAUAUGUUGGUAAUGGUGGAGUAAGGAUUCUAUAGCGGGAACUGGGUGAGGAAGAUGAUGAUGUGGUGGGUCGAGGCGGCUUGUGGGUAAAAGGCUUAAGUGGAAUAACGCUGAUGUAGACCCGGUCCGAAUGAGAUGUUUAACUUGAGGCGCUGAAACUGGUUCUGGCCCGUUCUUGACGUCCGCGCGAAGCUCUAUUGCUUGGCCCAAAUGAUUAAACUUCAUAAUAAAUGAGGUGUAAUCAGUUAUCACUGGCCCAAAUUGUUUUAGCCAUUCAAUACCCAAAACGGCAUCAGCUCCACUUAUCGGAAGCAGAUGGAAGGUGACAUUGAAAUGAUGACCUUAGAGUGAUAGCGAGGUAUCUGGGCAAAGUUGGUUGUAGUCAAGUACGGAGCCAUUACCAACUAGUACAUGUAGUGGUGGGGUGGACUGUACCGGAAGGUGGAGGAAUUGGGCUAUGCGGGGCUGGAGGAAAUUGUGUGUGCUGCCACUAUCAAUGAGUAUGGUGAGGCGUGCGUGGUUGAUUACUCCAAAGAGACGAAAUGUUUCAGAUGAAGGAAAACCUGAUAGAGCGUGUAAACUGAUGUGAGGAUAUGUAUUAUCAGUUAUGGGCUCCGAGACGUCGUUGGGCUCUGCUUCCUGGGUUGUGGAUGUUUUUGGGCUUAGGUCGUCAAUCUCGAAUGAGGGGCUAUCCGCGAUGAACAGAAGUACUCGACCCUUACAACGAUGAGUAGCACUCCAUUUCUCGUCGCAGUUAUAACAAAGUCCUUUUUCUUUGUGAAAAGCGAUUUCUUCUGUGGUUCGUUGAACAAAUGGAGGUUUUGAUUUUGAGCUGGGAUGAUUAGUGUGGUUUGGCGGACGGGGAAAAUUGUUAGGGCAAUUGGAAGACUGGCGUCGAUCUUUCAGCUUGUCUUCUUGAAGUUUUGCAAGCGUAGUUUCCUGGGGAAGAGAGAUGGGUUGAAUUGCUAAAACUUCUCGACGUAUCUCCGGUGACAAUCCAGAGAUGAAACAACUUAACAUGAACGGCGGAGGCAACCCUAUUACUCGAUUGGCUAAUCGUUCAAACUCAGUUAGAUAUUCGUUAACUGUUCCACGUUGUGACAAUUUGAAAAGUGCUCCUUUUGGAUCUUCAUAAAAUGAUGGUGCUAACCUGGAUUCGAGAGCCUGUAGGAGCCCGGACCAAGAAGUGAUGAAUCCAUUGCAGAACAUCCAUUGAUACCAGCUUAGGGCUGCACCGUCAAGAUAAAAAGAAGCCACCAUGAUCCUUUCUUCUUCCGACGUGUUCUAGUAGUCAAACAAUUGAGUGAUUUUGAAGAUCCAUCCUAGCGGGUCGCGUCCAUCGAACCUAGGAAUAUCGAGCUUGACAUGAUUCCUUUGGCUGAACUGAGCAUUUGGACUGGAGUGGCUAGGGUUUGCGUCUCGAAGACGAAGAUGAUCCAAGAUCGAAUCAACUUUCCCUGAGAACUCAUUGUACUUGUCGAUGAGGGAGGCUUGGCUAUUGGACAGACGAGCAAUGGCGUCUUCCAGUCUAUCCGUCGUCGUCUUCCUGGUCGCGUGGUCAGCCAUGGCAAUGGCAGCGACAGGUCAGACCAAAUGUUAGGCUUCGAGAGUGGGGGAGAGGAGGACGCGAGAGAGAGAGAAAGAAAGAGAGAGAGAGUAAAAGAGAGGGAUGAUUGCCUUAGCUUCAAGGAUAAAGCACCUCCUAGGGACUGGUUACGGGAGUAAGCUUUUUCCUUCUUGUAUUAUUCGUACUCAAGUAGGCUUAUAUACACAGAGUUAUUACAUGUAUAACGGCCGUAAUCGUGCUAACUGUUUCUUAACAGAAUAACUACUCCCUAACAGCACUAAUAUCCUGCACGUGCGUUUUAUCCUGCUAACUACUAAUUACAUGUGUUAUGUGGUUACGUAAUCGUGCAAGUACUUUGGUGUGAUGAUUUCUCUUCUGGGUCUAGGUGCUUCAGAUUCGUGCACAGUGCUGCUAUCAGAGUGUGGCUGAGAAGAUAGAGGAGUUGCAGUGCCGUGUAAGUGAGAGGCUUAAACUGAGAGUAGGAGUGAGAGUGAGUGCGAGAAGAGGGCAUUUAUAUAUAAAAAAUGUUAAGAUCUCCAUGUUAAUGUUAGUUUUACAAAAAUCGAUGUUAAUAUGACUUUCGUUAAUAUCGG